AUUGAACGCUGGCGGCAGGCCUAACACAUGCAAGUCGAACGAGUGGCGGACGGGUGAGUAAUAUCUGGGAAACUGCCUUAUGGAGGGGGAUAACUACUGGAAACGGUAGCUAAUACCGCAUACCAUCAGAUGUGCCCAGAUGGGAUUAGCUUGUUGGUGGGGUAACGGCUCACCAAGGCGACGAUCCCUAGCUGGUCUGAGAGGAUGACCAGCCACACUGGAACUGAGACACGGCCCAGACUCCUACGGGAGGCAGCAGUGGGGAAUAUUGCACAAUGGGCGAAAGCCUGAUCCAGCCAUGCCGCGUGUAUGAAGAAGGCCUUCGGGUUGUAAAGUACUUUCGGCGGGGAAGCGUUACCCGCAGAAGAAGCACCGGCUAACUCCGUGCCAGCCGCCGCGGUAAUAC
rnacentral:rRNA from 1 species